AGAAUCAACGCUGGCGGCGUGCCUAACACAUGCAAGUCGCACGAGAAAGGGGAGCAAUCCCUGAGUAAAGUGGCGCACGGGUGAGUAACACGUGAAUAAUCUACCUCCGAGUGGGGAAUAACUGAGAGAAAUCUUAGCUAAUACCGCAUAACACUUACGAGUCAAAGCAGCAAUGCGCUUGGAGAGGAGUUCGCGGCCGAUUAGUUAGUUGGCGGGGUAAUGGCCCACCAAGACGAUGAUCGGUAUCCGGCCUGAGAGGGCGCACGGACACACUGGAACUGAAACACGGUCCAGACUCCUACGGGAGGCAGCAGUGGGGAAUUUUGCGCAAUGGGGGAAACCCUGACGCAGCAACGCCGCGUGGAGGAUGAAGCCCCUUGGGGUGUAAACUCCUUUCGAUCGGGAAGAUAAUGACGGUACCGAUAUAAGAAGCCCGGCUAACUUCGUGCCAGCAGCCGC
rnacentral:rRNA from 1 species